GAUGAACGCUAGCGGCAGGCCUAAUACAUGCAAGUCGAGGGGCAUCUCCGGUAGCAAUACCGGAAGCGACCGGCGCACGGGUGCGUAACGCGUAUGUAACCUGCCCUCAACAGGGGGAUAGCCCGUGGAAACAUGGAUUAAUACCCCAUAAAGCAGGGGUGUCGCCUGGCACUAUUUGCUAAAGUUCCGACGGUUGAGGAGGGGCAUGCGUCUGAUUAGCUAGUUGGUAGGGUAACGGCCUACCAAGGCGACGAUCAGUAGGGGAUCUGAGAGGAUGAUCCCCCACACUGGUACUGAGAUACGGACCAGACUCCUACGGGAGGCAGCAGUAGGGAAUAUUGGGCAAUGGGCGCAAGCCUGACCCAGCCAUGCCGCGUGCAGGAUGAAGGCCUUCUGGGUUGUAAACUGCGUUUCUACAGGAAGAAACGCUCUCUGCGGAGAGAAUCGACGGUACUGUAGGAAUAAGCACCGGCUAACUCCGUGCCAGCAGCCGCGGUAAUACGGAGGGUGCAAGCGUUGUCCGGAUUUACUGGGUUUAAAGGGUGCGUAGGCGGAGAAUUAAGUCAGUGGUGAAAGCCUGCGGCUCAACCGCAGAAGUGCCAUUGAUACUG
rnacentral:rRNA from 1 species